GCGUGAGUGAAGAAGGCCCUAGGGUUGUAAAGCUCUUUCAGGUGUGAGGAUGAUGACAGUAGCACCAGAAGAAGCCCCGGCUAACUUCGUGCCAGCAGCCGCGGUAAUACGAAGGGGGCUAGCGUUGUUCGGAUUUACUGGGCGUAAAGGGCGUGUAGGCGGACGAUCAAGCUAGGGGUGAAAGCCCAGGGCCCAACCCUGGAACUGCCCUUAGAACUGGUUGUCUAGAAUCCGUAAGGGGAGUGUGGAAUUCCUAGUGUAGAGGUGAAAUUCGU
rnacentral:rRNA from 1 species